GUAAACGAUGGAUGCUCGAUGCUGGUCCGUUUCAGGGGCAGUGUCCAAGCUAACGCGUUAAGCAUCCCACCUGGGGAGUACGAUCGCAAGGUUGAAACUCAAAGGAAUUGACGGGGGCCCGCACAAGCGGUGGAGCAUGUGGCUUAAUUCGAUGCAACGCGAAGAACCUUACCCAGGCUCGAACACUACCGGACAACCCCCGAAAAGGGGUCUCCUUCGGGCUGGUAGUGAGGUGCUGCAUGGCUGUCGUCAGUUCGUGUCGUGAGAUGUUGGGUUAAGUCCCGCAACGAACGCAACCCCUAUCGCUAGUUACCAGCGGGUAAUGCCGGGGACUCUAGCGAGACUGCCUGCGCAAGCAGUGAGGAAGGUGGGGACGACGUCAAGUCAUCAUGGCCCUUACGCCUGGGGCUGCACACGUGCUACAAUGGCCGGUACAAUGGGCUGCCACCCCGCGAGGGGGAGCGAAUCCACAAAGCCGGUCUCAGUUCGGAUCGGAGUCUGCAACCCGACUCCGUGAAGCUGGAAUCGCUAGUAAUCGCGUAUCAGCUACGACGCGGUGAAUACGUUCCCGGGCCUUGUACACACCGCCCGUCAAGCCAUGGAAGUUGAGGGUACCCGAAGUCCGUGACCCAACCUUAGGGAGGGAGCGGCCGAAGGUAAACUCAGUGACUGGGGCUAAGUCGUAACAAGGUAGCCGUA
rnacentral:rRNA from 1 species